rnacentral:rRNA from 1 species
CAACGCCGCGUGAAGGAAGACGGUUUUCGGAUUGUAAACUUCGUUCUUAGGAAGAAAUGACGGUAGCUAAGGAGCAAGCACGGCUAACUACGUGCCAGCAGCCGCGGUAAUACGUAGGUGCAAGCGUUGUCCGGAAUUACUGGGUGUAAAGGGAGCGCAGGCGGGUGAUCAAGUCAGCUGUGAAAACUACGGGCUUAACCCGUAGCUGCAGUUGAAACUGUUCAUCUUGAGUGAAGUAGAGGUUGGCGGAAUUCCGAGUGUAGCGGUGAAAUGCGUAGAUAUUCGGAGGAACACCGGUGGCGAAGGCGGCCAACUGGGCUUUAACUGACGCUGAGGCUCGAAAGUGUGGGG